GAUGAACGCUGGCGGCGUGCCUAAUACAUGCAAGUCGAACGAAACUUCUUUAUCACCGAGUGCUUGCACUCACCGAUAAAGAGUUGAGUGGCGAACGGGUGAGUAACACGUGGGCAACCUGCCCAAAAGAGGGGGAUAACACUUGGAAACAGGUGCUAAUACCGCAUAACCAUAGUUACCGCAUGGUAACUAUGUAAAAGGUGGCUAUACUACCGCUUUUGGAUGGGCCCGCGGCGCAUUAGCUAGUUGGUAGGGUAAAGGCUUACCAAGGCAAUGAUGCGUAGCCGAAUUGAGAGGUUGAUCGGCAACAUUGGGACUGAGACACGGCCCAAACUCCUAAGGGAGGCAGCAGUAGGGAAUCUUCCACAAUGGGCGAAAGCCUGAUGGAGCAACGCCGCGUGGGUGAAGAAGGUCUUCGGAUCGUAAAACCCUGUUGUUAGAGAAGAAAGUGCGUGAGAGUAACUGUUCACGUUUCGACGGUAUCUAACCAGAAAGCCACGGCUAACUACGUG
rnacentral:rRNA from 1 species